rnacentral:rRNA from 1 species
AAGCCCCCCUCAAGAUGAGAUUUCCCAACUUCGGUUAUAAGAUCCCUCGAAGAUGACGAGGUUAAUAGGUUCGAGGUGGAAGCGUGGUGACACGUGGAGCUGACGAAUACUAAUCGAUCGAAGACUUAAUCAA